UAUCUACCAGCUAAGCCAUUACACCACAGGUGUCAUUUUAAAUGGCCCAGAAGACCAGGUCAUACGACAAGGUUUGAAAAAAGUCAACUUUGAGCAAUAUGAUGGGGUCAUCUCUGUUGUAAAUAUCAGACACGUGCACUGGAGGUUUGUGGGAAUAUUUCAGGAAGAGAGGAAACCAGCAUGGAAGAAAAGACUGGGUGGACACUAUGUGGAAGCCUGGGACAAUACACC